GAAUUAUUUAGCCUGACAUGUUUACUGCUCCAAAACAUCAUAAAUCUUUCGAAAAAUGGAAUAUAUUGUUUUCAAAGAGGAAAAAAGUUUUUGUUUUUUACCCAGACAUUUAAAAAUAAUAUAUUUUAGAGCAGUGAGCACAAUACUGUGAUAUUUUUAUCCAAAGUUAUCAUACCGUCAGAAUCAUAUACCGGCCCAAGCCUACACACAAAUCUUAAUUCUCAUAAUAAAGUCAUACCGUAAACAACACCAGCCAGCAAACAUUACGGUUCCAGCUUCCCUCCUAGCACAAUAAACUAAUAGAAAUGAGUGCUCUGCGAAUGCAUAGGGACACUCUGUACUCCUGCAGGGCACAAGAGUCAUCCAAUAUGAUGUAACACUGGCCAAGUCACAGCACUUGUGUCACAGCCCACAAACACACACAAUCAUACUCCAGAAGCUGUGACUGAAAUACACUUAAAUACUUGCAUUUUCUCUCUUUAAAACACGCACUUAUGGACUUAAUCAUCAGAAAAGUACAGAAAAAUACCAAAUCUGAAACAAUGUGAGGUCAUUGACUAAGAACAUGAUGUAGCUGUGGUCAUGAACACACACACACUCUGCAGGCAGGGAUUCAAAGAAGAAAAAUAGAGCAGAAAACAAGUUAUGUAACUGUUCUGAUAUCAACUGGCAUUAAAAAAAGAAUCGCUUGAAGUGUAGGCCAUAAUCCAAUCUUUCAACCUCCCGCCUCAAGAAAUGACAUCUCGACCGCUUCACCACAAGCUCUUUUCUAACGCACUCGGUUGUUUCCGAGCAUCACCUGUUAUGCAUUGAUUAAUUUAUCGCAUCUGGUAGACUGCCAGUUUGUUAUAUCACCUACUACCUUAUCCGACAUUAAGUAAUCGGCUAUUAUACAACAACAUCAUCUGAAAGUAUGUAACCUACUCCAGCAGAAUCAUCCAUAUUAACGCGCACACAUCACCUGUUGUGAACACAUUAGUUAAACAGUGUGUAACUAAAAAAAGAAGUGUUGUUGAUGACGUGCACGGCAAACUGUGGCGCAGGAAUGGUUGCUACGGCAGCGAGAACAAAAGCAAGGUGACUUUUAGCAAAGCUGCAGUGCUUUGUUCUCUGCGCUGGUCUCUCUUUUUUUCUCCCUCUUUCCCCCAUUUUUGAUUUGCUCGGAGUAUGCGGAUCCUUACGAAAGCAGUUCAUGUGAAAUGCCUUCUGGCGCUGCUUUAAAACAGAGCAGUUCUAGGAAGUCUCUGUUCAGCGUGUUUCCAAUUACUUGCUGUAUGAAGUCCAGGAGAGACGCUGGAGAGACGGGAUCAUUUAAGUAGGUUAAUCAACAGCAUCAGGACACGGCCAGUGAGAGAGCAUGUUCCUGCUUUCUGUUUAGGUUACUGGGUCAAGCGGAGAGGAAAGACAUCACGUGAAGAAGAAAAGCGUGUGUGUUUGAGUUUGUGUGUGGAGGAGCUCACAUGUACAGCACAAGGUUAUUUGCGGCUCCUCACCACUGCUCCUGGACUCCAGGAUGGUCCGGUGGCUCUACUGAGGUGUUUGUAACGCUGACGGAGCACAAAGUCAUAGUUGGCAGUGGUGCACAUGGCAUAAAACACGUUGGCCUUGUCUGGGAUCAGCAACUCUGAUAAAUACAAAAACGAGACACUGAUUUAUUGAGAGAAAGACUCAUGCUGCUGUUGAUCCAGGAAAUGAUGCGAGGAUGUGAUUGGAGAGUGUAGUGAGCACAUGACGCCUGCAGCUGCCUGA